GUUUCAAUGCUUGUUCUAAUGCAUUAUGCUCUUUUAC
rnacentral:other from 1 species